ACGCGGCGGCGGCCGCGCCUGCGCAGAAGGUGGAGCGGGCGAGGCGCCUCGUGCGCGGCGGCGGCGGUGGGGCCGUGAGGGCCGGGCUCUCAUUCCCCUCCCCGGGAGCUCGUCUUCCUCCUGUGCUGGCCCACCGCGGCGGCCUGGCCCGCCUCAGCUCCCUCAGGCUCUCGCAUGAGGCCCGUGGAUGCGGCAGCAGGGGAGACUGCCCCCGGGAAAGCACCGAAGGCCUGAGGGAGCCUUGACGCUGCCUCAGCGACGAGCCUGUGCGCCAAAGAAGCGAGUGCACAGCGACAGGAACAGUGCCCCUCAGGGCCCGGCGGCCAGGGAUUUUCACUCUUCAGAACCGUCACAAGCAGCAAGUUACCAGUACACAAAAACAAUAUGCUUUAAUCACUGAGUUCUAUUCCUGCUUCACAAGGUCUGUGGAAAAGACCGACAAUACUUCAGUACUGGAUUUUUUGCACAGACCCGGGAAAGGAAAUAGAUGUCACCAGAGUUUAAGCCUGAUGUGCUCUAGCCACAUCUCACAGUUGGCCACAAUUUACCAUUAUUGAUUAGUAUAUCUGCUUCUUGCAAAUUAUCUGUUUCAAAAAGGGGACCAAAUUUUCAAUUUUCACCUAAUGCGGGUCUAAUUAAGGCUAUUCUGGUAUAUUUGAUACUAAAAUACUCUCUGGGAGUCCUUUUCAUUAAAUCCCGUCAGAAUUAUCAUUUUCAAAAAUGAAAACAUUUAAAAUAGGUGUUUGAGUUGAAAUGCUGAUGCAGCGGCCGGGUCAGUGUUUUCUUAUCACGUCAGUAUAGUGUCAUCGAUCUGUUCCUCCGAGUCCGCCUGGGCCGCCAGCUUCCUCAGAGAUCGCCUGCAGCUUUCGUUGAGAAGCUCCAAGCUGGCAGCAUCUAGAAUCUUGGAAACCGACUGUGGAAGGAAGACAAUGCCAAUUAGCGAUUCCUUACGACGUACCAUUCAAAAUAAGAAUGGAAGCGUCGUAAAAGCUGUAUUUAUCUUAAAAUCUUUCAAACGUACCAAAAUCCUUCAUCUGGUUUUAAGAUUCCAAACAUGGGAACUAUCCAAAAGUAGCUGAGACUUAGAAAAGCAGUCUGGAAAUGGCUGUAUGAAGUAGUCCAUCCCAAAAUACUCUCUCUAGCAGCACUACUGCUGUGGUGGGAUUAUACAAGUGACAAAAGUACUGAAGUCACAGUCCCAGCUGAGGAACUACAGCACAGUAAGGGCUGAAGGCAUUUUGAAAGCAAGGCUACCACGUUAAACAUGGGAGUUAUGUUAAACACCUUGACUUCAGUAAUACCACACUGUAUGGCUGUACAGUAUUAGCAUCACAUAUUUAUUCAAGGCUUUGCACAAGAAUACUGAUGCAGGUUUAAAUCCAAACAGGAAUGUCCCACUCCGGCUAUUUCCUAACAGACUGAGGCUCCUGGCGCAACACCAAACCAUACACAGAGCAAGGUGACACACCUCUACCAACCAUCACAUUUUCUUCUGUCUCAUACCUCAAGCACUUCUUCACCCGCUCUCAUCUUCAGAAGGUUGACAAUAGCUUGGUCACUAUAGGCUCUCACACUGGUGUUUUUGUCCUUUGUGUUGUCCAGAAGUGCUUUGAGAAUUGGUUUAAUUGUCGGAGGAUCCAGUGAGGGAAGAUGGUUUUUAUUUGCCCACCAGAUCAUCUUUUCUGCCACUAGCUUUAUGUCACUGGAUGAGUUCUGGAGACACUGAAGAAGACAAAGAUGGACUUAAAUGCAGAUAUACCAAGGACAGGUAUUUAAAGCAGUAGUUAAUCUUUUUAAUAUUAAAGUCUUUUAAACUACAACAGGAAAACCAAACAGUUUUCAACUCACAUGUACACAAGAGAUAAACUUGUUAGCACCAAGUCUGACUAAACUGUGUAACAGUAAAAGAAGAUCAAACCCUGAAAACAAGACACAUUUGCAAAAUAAAACUUCUGAAAAUGAGGGUGGCAGCAGGGUCAUAGGCUUCUGUCAACUCUCAAGCAAUGACAAUGACCACUAAGUGCAGCAAAAGCACCUCUAAAAUACACUCAAUCAGCAGCAACAGCCAAGUCAGUCUCUGGUUGGAGUAUGAGGCGCAUUUCAACAGUGGACUUAAUUUUAAAACUAAAAAGUAGAGCUCCGUAUUUUUUAUUUAAUCUCAGCAUAUUUAAAACAUGAAAGCUGACAUCUGAAUGUCAGCUGCACUAAUACUUGAUAAAGGUAUUGUGACAAUGGUGAUACUUGGAUUUUAAUGCAAUACUAGGAUAGAAAUUAAUAUAUAAAUGUAGGAUUUCAAACAAAAAGUCUGCUUUGGAGAAUAAUGGUCUGCAUCACGUCAGUUUGCAUGUUUGGUAGUUUUUUAAAUAAAUUGAAAAUAAAUGUAAA